rnacentral:lncRNA from 1 species
CUAAUGCCAAGCUUUGCAUACAGUGGUCACAGACACCAGCAGCAUGCUCCCUUUACAGCACCCGUGAUGCGCUUUGUUGGGUUUUUGACUCCUGUGGAAUCGCUGGAAAAACAUCGCCGCUGGUCAUAGGGAACAUGGUUUCCCCUCAGGAGCAAGGGCAAGUCACUGCCCACUGGCACUCUGGGAGGACACAGAAAUACUGCCCAGGACUCAUCCCACAGUCUUGCUGAGGCACAUGCUCUUGCCGGAUGUGCUUCCACACAAAGCCCACUGAGUGAGUACAAGUUCCAAAAGUUAGAUCUGCAAAGGUCUGAGGAUCUUCAGCAUUUUGUCACUCCUGAGCAAGUGAGGAAAGAUGAAGGAAAGAAAUUAAGGAAAAGAAGAAAGCAAGCAAAAAACUUAGCAAAGAUGUCAUUGCAUAAUAGUCCAUUAUGCCUCCAAUUGAGCCGUCAUGAACUAUCAAAGAAAUAAUUGCACAAUAGACCAUAAUGGCUUAAUCGUGUCAACAUCUUUACAUUUACAUAUUUUUUUAAUCAAUGGAAAUUAAGUACAAAAAUGGG